UACGUAGGUGGCAAGCGUUGUCCGGAUUUAUUGGGUUUAAAGGGUGCGUAGGCGGUUUCUUAAGUCAGUGGUGAAAUACGGCAGCUCAACUGUCGAGGUGCCAUUGAUACUGGGAAACUUGAGUACUGAUGAGGUAGGCGGAAUGGACGGUGUAGCGGUGAAAUGCGUAGAGAUCGGGAGGAACACCCGUGGCGAAGGCGGCCAACUGGGCCGACCCUGACGCUGAGGCGCGAAGGCGUGGGGAGCGAACGGG
rnacentral:rRNA from 1 species